CUCUCUUUAGAUAUUAGGUUUUGGUUUUGUCAUCUCUCUUCUCUUUCUUCAUCUCUCCUUUUGUAAUAAACCCUAAUUUUCAAAUUUUGUAAAGUUCAUAUCUGUCCACAAUCACAAAUUUUCAAUUCCUUUUUCUCUUUUGUUCCAUCCGUUCAUUCCGUUUUUUAUUCAAAUUAUUUCGAUUAUUUUUAGUUGAUGGUUUCUUCUUUCAGACGAAGCGAUGGUGACGAAAUGAUACAUCAAGUUUAACGAUUCUCAAUGAUGGGUCAACAUCCAGAUCUAUUUUUAUGUAUUCAGGAACUUGAAGAUCCCCUCAUCAAUAUCCUUGAGAAGAAAUCUCAAAUAUAAAUGUUAUAGUUAAAGUUACUAGAGUUUUGCUUAUUUAAUUUGGUAUUUCUUUUAAGGUAUGAUAUGUUUUCUCUAUAUUCAAAUUAUUACUGAAGACCUCGGCCACAAUCUGGAAAUGUUUGGCUGUUGCAAAAGGUAUUUGUUUAGCUUUAUUAUUGUAUGAUUUUAAUGCCCAGUCAACUUUUGAUAAACUUCUUUGGUUGAUGUCCAUGAAAUCUUGGUUUUGGUAAAGAAUGCAGACUUUCCUUGAUUAAUGUGAGCAUGUUUAUUUAAAUCUCCUAUUUAAUUUCCAAAUAUGACACUGUCAUUCUUGACGGUAUCAGAGUUAAGAAAGAUAUCGAGAAAAUAUGUGAGCAGGUUUAUCUAAAUCUCCUAUUCGAUUUGAUUUUACCACUGUCAUAUAUAUCUAGGUUUGGUUUUUCAAUGACAUUUCUUAUGA